rnacentral:rRNA from 1 species
CGUCAAGUCCUCAUGGCCUUUAUGUCCAGGGCUACACACGUGCUACAAUGGUCGGUACAAACCGUCGCAAACCUGCGAAGGGGAGCUAAUCGGAAAAAGCCGGCCUCAGUUCGGAUUGGAGUCUGCAACUCGACUCCAUGAAGCUGGAAUCGCUAGUAAUCGCGGAUCAGCACGCCGCGGUGAAUACGUUCCCGGGCCUU